AGUCUCAUUCCAUAAACUUUCAUUUGCCUAAUGUGAUGUAUUUUAAAAGAAACAGGAUCAAGACAAUGCAAAUUACAAAAAGCUUCAAGUUACCAUCAUCCUCCCAGCAGUUCUUAGAACUGCCUUCUCUCUCACCGCGGCCUGGCAGCACCGUCGGGUCUGUUGGCAGCUCGUCUUCUGGCACACCACCUUCACAGUCCGCCGCAUCUGUAAUACUUUCUUCUUCCACAAUAUGGAGUUUGUCUUCAUCAUCUGAAUCUGAAUUUGUUUCCACCACAGUAUUGUAAUUUGUAACUGUAACACAAGCAAGAAAUGAAUGAUUUAAACUAGUGUAAAAAUCA